GACGAACGCUGGCGGCGUGCUUAACACAUGCAAGUCGAACGGUAAGGCCCUUCGGGGUACACGAGUGGCGAACGGGUGAGUAACACGUGGGUGAUCUGCCCUGCACUUCGGGAUAAGCUUGGGAAACUGGGUCUAAUACCGGAUAGGACCACGGUCUGCAUGGAUUGUGGUGGAAAGCUUUUGCGGUGUGGGAUGGGCCCGCGGCCUAUCAGCUUGUUGGUGGGGUGAUGGCCUACCAAGGCGACGACGGGUAGCCGGCCUGAGAGGGUGUCCGGCCACACUGGGACUGAGAUACGGCCCAGACUCCUACGGGAGGCAGCAGUGGGGAAUAUUGCACAAUGGGCGCAAGCCUGAUGCAGCGACGCCGCGUGGGGGAUGACGGCCUUCGGGUUGUAACCUC
rnacentral:rRNA from 1 species